GCACUUGCCCUUGUUUCUUUGUGUAUUAAUCGUGAAUUUAGAGCACGGUAGUAGCACAGCAGAUUUGGGAGACAACAUUCUCUCUUCCUCCAGGGAUCACCGUCAGCAGAGACGGCAGCGAGCUUGAUGUUCUGUUGCAAAUUGCUGGAAGAAACCACCCCUGAGUUUCACAACAUCUAGCAAAUACUGGUAAUGGAAAAAGUUCCUUCUCCAAAGAAAACCCCCUCAACAAAUGAGUAUGCUUCAUGGAAUUCAGAGAGAAGAACAAUGCUCUCAAAAUCUCGAAGACAGCAAAGAAGAAGAAGAAAACUGUGUUUGGCUACUCUCGCUGAAGAGUACCUAAGAGUACUCAGCCUGAGAAAUGGGAAACAUUUACUUAUCUUUACUGAUGAAAGCAAAUCAGUGUACCGGUACAGUUAGCUGGGGUAAGGCUAGAUACAUCUCCCACACACCUCAGGAUAUCCACACCCAAAGGGAUCAGACCGGGUAAUGAAGAGGAAUGCAAUUUUAUACACUUUUUACAGUCAUAGAAAUCCAAGCACUCUCACCCCAAGUGCUCGAGGAUGCAUUGGCAAAGUAAAGCAUAUCAUAGCAUAAAAGGUCAUGUUUUGUAGGUGCAGAAACUAGAAAUGUACAGAUGUGCAGAGGGGACCUUAAACAUAAAUGUGGGUUUUGUUUUACUGUCUCUGUGUGCAUUAUAUACAUAUAAAUAAUGGCAAAUCCUG